UCCAGGAUCAUCGGCUCCAUCUGCUCCUGCAGAAUAGCUCUCCUGUUCAGCAUCCCAGUCCAGCAAAGAGCUGCGGCCCCGGCAAGCAAAAAGUGUUCUGCUCUGAGUUCCUGGAAGCUGAUGGGAGCUCUGAAGGAUGCCUUUGGAGCAUAAUUGUGGCCACAUGCACCAGGCUGUGCUUGGAUGCUGGAUGUUGUGUCAAGAAAAUGGGAAAAGCUGUGAAUCCACAACUGCAGUUGACAGAGCAGCUCCUCCCUGCAGUCACAGCCAUCCGUCCCCAGCAGUUGUAUCCAGUAUUUUGGCAGGAAUGACCAAUCCAUCCAGACAGCUACUUCUUUUCACCCUGCAGUUCGGAAGGGAAUAAGACUAUUCCUGCAAACACGGCGGGGAACAAGCAACUCUUUUUGUUCUGAGCAGAGCUUGUACGUGCUGAGAAUCCUCGUCGGAACAGAUGAGCGCUUCUUUCUUCUUCCAACAAA